rnacentral:lncRNA from 1 species
UUCCAGCGCUGCCCACCCAGCUGGGGCCCGUCCACCCCCCGCCCAGGUGAGCCCCCCCGCCGCCGCGGUGUCACCACGGUGUCACCGCCACCGCGGUGCCGCCGCGUCCCCGGCGUCCCCGUUGCUGUCGCAUCCCCGCCGCGGCUCCUCCGUCCCCGUUGCCGUCGCGUCCCCUCCGUCUCUGACCCCGCCGUCCCAGCAUCUGCCCCGUCCGUGUCCCUGCCGCGGUGGCAUCUCUUCCGCGCUCGCCACCGUGUCCCUGUCMUCGCGGCGUUUCUCUUCUGUCUACGGUGGUGGCGUCCUGCCCGUCACCACGUCCAUGCCAUGGUGGCRUCCGCUGUGUUCCCAUCGCUAGCACAUCCCUGCCGUGGUGGCAGCUUCAUGUCACCACUAUGGUGGUGGCAUCUUCACCUUCUCCAUCCGCACUGUGCGGCCUUCAUCUGCACCCCAGSCAUGUCCCCGCCGCGGUGGCAUCUUCGUGUCACCGCCACGUCGGCGUUAUCUUCACCUUCUCCAUCUCUAUCACGUGGUCUCCACCUGCACCGCGGCCGUGUCCCUGCCAUGGUGGCAUCUUGCUCGUGUCACCACCGCAGCGGCGUUGUCUUUGGUCUUUCAUUGGCGUUACCUUCACCUUCUCCAUCCCCGUUGCGGGGUCUCCACCUGCGCCAAGGCUACACCUCCGUUGUGGUGGCGUUGUCUCUGCGUCACCGCCGUGGUGGCGUUAYCUUUGGCCUCUCGUUGCCGUUACCUGCACCGUGUCCGUCCCCGUUGCGYGGUCUUCGUCUGUGCCGCGCCUACGUCCCCACCGCGGUAGCAGGUUCUUCGUGUCACCACCGCGGUGGUGGUGGUAUCUUCACCACCUCUGUCCCCGUCCUGUGGUUUUUAUCUGCACCACGGCUGCGUCUCUGCCAUGGUGGCAUCUUUGUGUCCCCACCACGUCGGUGUCAUCUUCGGCUCUUUGUCGGUGUUACCUCCACCUUCUCCGUCCCCGUCGCGUGGUCUUCGUCUGCGCCGCGACUGCGUCCUCGCCGCGGUGCCGUUAUCUCCAUCUCGUGUCCCCACCACGUCCUCUCCAUCCGUGCCACUGCCACCGCGUCCACGUUGUGGUGGCACCUGCUCCGUCUUCUCCAUCCCCGUGGUGGCAGCGUCCUCUGUGU